rnacentral:rRNA from 1 species
GGGGGACAACGGCUGGAAACGGCCGCUAAUACCGCGUAAGCCGGAAGGUGAAAGGCCGCGCAAGCGGCUGCCGGUGGAUGGGUUCGCGUCCUAUCAGCUGGUUGGUGGGGUAAGGGCCUACCAAGGCGAAGACGGGUAGCCGGUCUGAGAGGGUGAUCGGCCACACUGGAACUGAGAUACGGUCCAGACUCCUACGGGAGGCAGCAGUGGGGAAUAUUGGGCAAUGGGGGGAACCCUGACCCAGCGACGCCGCGUGAGGGAAGAAGGUUUUCGGAUCGUAAACCUCUGUUGUACGGGAAGAAGGAAGUGACGGUACCGUACGAGGAAGCCCCGGCAAACUACGUGCCAC